rnacentral:rRNA from 1 species
CACGCCGUAAACGAUGAAUGCCAGUCGUCGGUGCGCAUGCGUAUCGGUGACACACCUAACGGAUUAAGCAUUCCGCCUGGGGAGUACGGUCGCAAGAUUAAAACUCAAAGGAAUUGACGGGGGCCCGCACAAGCGGUGGAGUAUGUGGUUUAAUUCGACGCAACGCGAAGAACCUUACCAAGGCUUGACAUUGAGUGAAAGGCUAAGAGAUUAGCCCCUCUCUUCGGAGACACGAAAACAGGUGG